rnacentral:rRNA from 1 species
GAUGAACGCUGGCGGCGUGCCUAAUACAUGCGAGUCGAGCGAACAGACGAGAAGCUUGCUUCUCUGAUGUUAGCGGCGAACGGGUGAGUAACACGUGGGUAACCUACCUAUAAGACUGGGAUAACUCCGGGAAACCGGGGCUAAUACCGGAUAAUAUUUUGAACCGCAUGGUUCGAUAGUGAAAGACGGUUUCGGCUGUCACUUAUAGAUGGACCCGCGCCGUAUUAGCUAGUUGGUAAGGUAACGGCUUACCAAGGCGACGAUACGUAGCCGACCUGAGAGGGUGGUCGGCCACACUGGAACUGAGACACGGUCCAGACUCCUACGGGAGGCAGCAGUAGGGAAUCUUCCGCAAUGGGCGAAAGCCUGACGGAGCAACGCCGCGUGAGUGAGGAAGGUCUUCGGAUCGUAAAACUCUGUUGUUAGGGAAGAACAAAUUUGUUAGUAACUGAACAAGUCUUGGCGGUACCUAACCAGAAAGCCACGGCUAACUACGUGCCAGCAGCGCGGUAA